AUCGUUUUUCAGCGUUUUAGCUAAGAUCAAGCGUAGUAUUUGUUCUUGUCAUUAUCAGUUUGACGUCUGAUACAUUCUGUAUCUGAGGAAAAUAAGUUAGAUGGGUUUUUGGAGCAGGGAGAUGGCAUGGGAGCUUGUCCUGUCUACUGCACGUAUCGACAAGAAUGGUGCACUUCCUUGAGGGAUACAAUGUCU
ensembl:snRNA U2 U2 spliceosomal RNA